AUUGAACGCUGGCGGCAUGCUUUACACAUGCAAGUCGAACGGCAGCGCGUCCUUCGGGAUGGCGGCGAGUGGCGAACGGGUGAGUAAUACAUCGGAACGUGCCCAGACGUGGGGGAUAACUGCUCGAAAGAGCAGCUAAUACCGCAUGAGAUCUGAGGAUGAAAGCGGGGGACCUUAGGGCCUCGCGCGUUUGGAGCGGCCGAUGGCAGAUUAGGUAGUUGGUGGGGUAAGAGCCUACCAAGCCUGCGAUCUGUAGCUGGUCUGAGAGGACGAUCAGCCACACUGGGACUGAGACACGGCCCAGACUCCUACGGGAGGCAGCAGUGGGGAAUUUUGGACAAUGGGCGCAAGCCUGAUCCAGCAAUGCCGCGUGCAGGACGAAGGCCUUCGGGUUGUAAACUGCUUUUGUACGGAACGAAAAGCCUUCUUCUAAUACAGGAGGGUGAUGACGGUACCGUAAGAAUAAGCACCGGCUAACUACGUG
rnacentral:rRNA from 1 species